AUGCAUGGAUUCUAUCCACCACAUGGGCCACAGUCUAGCUCUCUCACUGGCCUGCUUGGUGACCUUGGACAAGUGACAACAUCUGGGCUUUAGUCUCCUUGCUAAAGACAGACUGCUGGGUGCGGUGGUGCAUACCUGUAGCCCCCGAACUCCAGAGGCUGAGGCGGAGAGUUGCCUCGAGUUCAGGACCAGCCAAGACCAAGAAUACAUGGUGCUUGAUCAAGGGCAUCUGCUGUGGUUUUGUCACUUAGGGACUGGAGUAAGCAGCUGUCCACAUGCCCUGCCAGGACUGUGCCAGGCGUGGCCUCAGGACCACGUGGGGCCCUGGUUCAUUUGGGACCAAGAUGAUGCCUGAGGUCAGCCGGCCACGUGGGGCUUCCUGUGUGUCAGCUCGAAUCCUGAGCACUGUGAUGUGGGGACUGUUCCUCCCAGCUCACAGAUGCAGCAACUGAGGCUCAGAGCAGGCAACACACACUGGCACACAUAUACCUGGCACCUGGGUGACAGCGGGGAUUUGAACUAGGUCUGUGGGCUCGGAGGUCAGAAGGUACUCCUUUCUCUGCCUCCCUGGUCCUCAGGCGCCCCCCACAGGGCAGGUGCUGCCAGGCCUCAGUGCAGGCCCUGCCCUCCUAACUCUUUCUGGACCGCUACACACCCGCCGCGCCCACUCCCUACCCUUCCACAAGUUAGGAGGGAAGAAGGAGAUUGUUAACUGCUUGUUACUUCCUGGGCUUUCUACCUCAAACGCCGAAGGGUGGGUGGUAUGACUCCUAUGAUAGACUUAGGGAAACUGAGGCUUGGGGUCUUAGGCCCAAUGCCAAAAGCCUAGGAACCAGGUGAUCACCUCGGAGCUCUGUGUCAGCCCAGCCCAGCUCCAGGGCACACAGCCCAGCGCCAGAGACCGGAGAAGCCGUUGCCCAGCUGGAAAAUGGGGAGCGGGCAUGGCCAGACAGCCCCAGAUGGGAGCCUGGAGGGAGGCGAGGGCAGGUGAGAAAAGCCUUUCUGGAAUCUGAGCAGGCGGACUUGGAAGCCACGCAUGGCCACCAUCCAAGCCGCGGGCUUUCGGCUUUGUUUUCCAAAUUCCUGUCAGAAUCCCUUAAUUGGAAGGGAUUGAAAGCAGGUCGUUAUGUCCCAAGCCAGCUGAGAAAGGGGAGGAGAGCUCCUGUCCCCUGAUCCACCAGACGGCCUGGGGCAGGACUUGAGCUCUGAAAGACACUCCCAGUUCCGGAGCAGAGAACAGCAGGAGUGAACUCCUGCCCAGCCCAGAGCUGGGGUGGGGCUGCUCGGAGGACUGGGGGUGGUCCCUGGGGAGGGAAGGGCUGCAGAGGGGGUCCCCGGCAGGUGAGAGGACAGCGACAUGGACAAAGUCUUCCUGGCGUGGAAGCAAAUCAGCAGCAUGGAGGAGCGGGGUGUGAGGUGCGGGAGAAGCACUGGCCACCUCCAUCAAAAGCAAGAUGGGGCGGGGCUGGGGUGUAGGCCUCGGUUCUGGAAACCGAGGGAGACCCAGCAGUGGCAGAGCUGGGGAAGCAGGAAGCCCCUGCAGCUGGCCACUUGGGAGACAGCAAGGGAUGGGAGCGAGUGGGCAGCAGGGCCGGGCCGAGCUCUGCCGUGGCGUGGACACAGGAGUCGUGGCAGGAGUCACGCCGAGAUCACACCCAGCUUUCGGGGUUCCCACUCCCAGACAGAGAAAUCCCAGGAAGGGGAGGGUGACUGGAACGUCAGUGUGGAAACCGGCUCUGGGUGUGAGUCGAAGCCCCUGGCUCUGAGAGUCUGGGCGGGGCUCGGGCGGUGAGACCCGGCCAGGUCAUUUCACAGGGCCCAAGCCCAGUGCUGGGCUAACGGUGGGCGCCUGGCUCCGCAGCUGGGCAGGGGCAGGUGGGGGCGGGUGCUGUGUUUGAUUCAGACAGCGCGCACUCCGAGGUCCAGCUUGCUCACAGAGGCCCGCCCUGCCUGAGCGGGACACCCUGUUCAUAGCCGGCCAAGAGCUUCAGAUCAGCCGCCCUCUCUCAAGCUCAUCCAACCAAUAAUUCUUGGCUAAAUUCUUCUUUUUCUGAUCAAAAAGAAAAAUGAAAUGAGUAAUGUAAAAGCCUCUUGCAUUCCACUGCCCGGAGGAAAGCACCGUCCAGUGAUCUGUGCUUCCUGCUUGCGCCAGCCGGGGUCCUGUUAAACACGCGGUUUCCUUGAGAUCCUCCAUCCGCUGCUGUCGCUGGGCUUUGUCCCAUGCCAGGAAAGAGCCUCGGGAAAGGAGCUCGGGAACGGCCGGAUGGCGCCUCAGCUCUGGUUAUUUCUGAAGACAGCUUCCCAGGAGUGCGGUGAUGAAGUGUGUGUGUGGGGGGGGGUGCCGCUCUAUGAGGCGCUGGAGAAUGCCAUCACACUGCCCUCUGGAGAGCUGGUUCCCACUGUCAUCACCCACCAUCCUUUGCCAGCACUGGGUGUUAGCACAUGAGCCUAAUGCCCGCUGGGAGCUUCCGGGUUGGGGUGGGGGGUACAGGGAGGCCCAGGAGGAAACCGUGCUGUCAGAGCACAUGUGACUGCAGAGACCAGGUAAGAAACAGGACAGAAGUCACCCUGGCCCCGUUCGCUUGCUUCUCCCAGAUCCCAAACUCUGUUACGGCUACUCUGCCCCACAGAGCAGCAGCAGCUGUGGACGGCAGCUAAGCAGAGAGGUGGCCGUGUUCCGGAAGACGAUGUUCCUAACCCAGAGCCCCCGUGUGGCUCAGAGUCACCGCAGAGUCACGUUUCCUGACCCCUGCUCGCUGUCAUUUCCUCCCCUACAUCUGGAGAAGUAGGUGGACAGGACAGUGUGCACCUGUCACUCAGAGCGUGGACCUGCAUGUGAUAGCCAAGCUGCCCUGCACACACCUGGAGAAGUGGGGUGCACGCUGGGCCCCUCCUCCGGGCCUUUGCUGCUGUCCUCCAGCCACAUGACUGGCGAUGUUGUUCUGCGGAGCUCACCCACCGCACGCUCCUGCCUGGGGGCUGGCUGACCGCAGAGAGUCCUGGAACCGUGAUCCUGCCGUGCCAGAUCAUUUGUCCCAAAAACAGAGAAGCUGACUGAUUCACCGAAACUCACAGAGCGCAGGUGAGUCCGCCUUGUGUGGUAGACAAGGAGGCUUCUGCCAGGCCUGACUGUGCAGACGGAAGGCAGAGCCACCUUCAGACCCCACAGCUCAGGAUUCCACAGAACCCCACCACAAGACCAUCAUGGCUGGGAAGCAGCAGCCCAAAGAGAUCUACGUCCACUCGCUCCCCGGGGCCGUAACAGAGCCUCCAGCUUCUCCAGGGGCUGGGCACUGUCCUGCUGCACUCAUAGACUUCUAGACCACGAGGAAAAGGGAGAAGCCUGAUGCUUCGGGUCACAUUGCCCCUCCUCCUCCUCUACAAGCUAUGCUCUAGUUAGGCCACCUUGGAAACGGGGCCGUUGCAGGGGUUACAAGUAAAGCUGAUUAACUUAUUAA